UAACAAACAUGGGCAUUUUGCAUAACUUGGAAAAACCAUUUCUAGUAAAUUACCUGCAGUUGCAAGAUGUACAAGUGCUUUCAGUCUUCCCAUGAUAAGCCCCCUUGCUUUGAAAUGGACAUGCUUCCAUGAGAUAACAGAUGAAAACUAAUCUUUAAUUACAUGUGGCAAAAUAUAAAUUGAAUGAGGAAGCUAUUGCUGCCAAGGGACUGUAUAAUGCAGCUGUUCCAGAAAACUAUACAAUCCAGGAGGAACAAUAAAGGAAAUAAGGCAUUCGUACAACUAUGAUGGGACAUUUUGUGACUGCAGAGAUUCUCCUCUUUCCAUGAAUUAGUUCAUUAUUUAUUCUCCAGAAUUUGGAUCCCCAAAUCCAUAUUUACUAUCUGUAUACUUAAAUUGACUGAUGAUAGGAAAAAAUCCCAGAGUCCUAACCAGCUUUGGAAACACUUAAAACAAAAAGUAAUUUUUCAGAUCCACCCACCAUCUCCAGGAGCUAGUGGACAGAUGAGGAACUGAAAUUACAUUU